rnacentral:misc_RNA from 1 species
UUUUUUGGCGCGAAUUGAUGGUUGACACACGUAUUAGUGAGAUUGUUGUCGCUUAAUUUAUUUUUAUUAGGAUUUAUUGUAAAUUUUUUAGUUAAAAUAGUGGGUAAUUAGUUGUAUUAGUUUCUAGUAUCAUUUGUAAGUCCUGGUUCAUAGUUUGAUAUAUAAUACCUACUAUUUUGGCAGUCUUCAAAAUUCUACUGAGGUUGCUACCUCUAAUUCACCGACCAAUCUCCGUCGUGUCUUCUCCAUCUUACGUGACAUUGGCGAAAUCAUCUGUGCUAUUCGGCACUAGUGAAAGCCAUUAAUUCUAAAUUCAUUCAAUUUA